CCCAGAACUUGAUGGUUUACAUGAGCCAGUCCUCUGAGAUAAGGAUGUCAGUGUGGAACUGGGAGGCCAUAGGGAGCAGAAGGGGAGGACUCCAUACCAGUCAGGGCAUCUCAGAUUCACUAAUGUGUCAGGACAAAAUUGCUGAAGACACUCCCCAGGAGAAAGGAUCUGAGGCUGCUGGUCCAAACAGCAAAAGAAGGCAUGAUGACCAGCACUUCUAUGAAUAAAACAGAUCCAUUCAGAGAUCA